UUUUAUAAGGUCAAAUGAACUAAGGCGUACGGUGGAGACCUAGGCACUCAGAGACGAAGAAGGGCGCAGAUACCGGCGAUACGCUUCGGGGAGCUGGCAACAAGCUUUGAUCCGAAGAUUCCCGAAUAGGGCAACCUCAUAGAACUACCUAUAUAAUUCAUAGUUAGGUAAGAGGCAACCCAGUGAACUGAAACAUCUAAGUAGCUGGAGGAAAAGAAAGCAAACGCGAUUCCCGUAGUAGCGGCGAGCGAACCGGGAACAGCCUAAACCUACGCCGCAAGGUGUAGGGGUCGUGGGAGGACAAUUAAUAAAAAAUUGCAUUUUUUAAUACGAAGCAGCUGAAUCCUGCACCAUAGAUGGUGAAAGUCCAGUAGUAAAAAGAAAAUUUAAUUUUUGUCUAAUCCCGAGUAGCAUGGGGCACGUGAAAUCCCGUGUGAAUCAGCGAGGACCACCUCGUAAGGCUAAAUACUCCUGAGUGACCGAUAGCGAAAUAGUACCACGAGGGAAAGGUGAAAAGAACCCCUGUUGGGGAGUGAAAUAGAACAUGAAACCGUAUGCUGACAAGCAGUGGGAGCAAGUAUGCUUGUGACCGCGUGCCUGUUGAAGAAUGAGCCGGCGACUUAUAGGGAGUGGCUGGGUUAAGGAGUAAAAUCCGGAGCCCAAGCGAAAGCGAGUCUGAAUAGGGCGUAAAUGGUCACUUCUUAUGGACCCGAACCCGGGUGAUCUAUUCAUGGCCAGGAUGAAGCUUGGGUAACACCAAGUGGAGGUCCGAACCGACCGAUGUUGAAAAAUCGGCGGAUGAGCUGUGAAUAGGGGAGAAAUUCCAAUCGAACUCGGAGCUAGCUGGAUCUCCCCGAAAUGCGUUGAGGCGCAGCGGUAACGAUGAACUAUCUUGGGGUAAAGCUACUGUUUCGAUGCGGGCUGCGAAAGUGGUACCAAGUCGUGGCAAACUCAGAAUACAAGAUAUGUCUUCCGUAAACCAGUGAGACAGUGGGGGAUAAGCUUCAUUGUCAAGAGGGAAACAGCCCAGAUCACCAGCUAAGGCCCCUAAAUGGUCACUAAGUGGAAAAGGAUGUGAGAAUGCUGAAACAACCAGGAGGUUUGCUUAGAAGCAGCCACCCUUCAAAGAGUGCGUAAUAGCUCACUGGUAAAGCGUUCUUGCGCCGAUAAUGGCCGGGACUAAGUGACCUGCCGAAGCUGUGAUAUAAUUUAUUUCUAAUAAUUUAUAGGUAGGGGAGCGUUCCGCUCUCGGGUGAAGUUUUCACGUAAGUGGGGAUGGACGAAGCGGAAGUGAGAAUGUCGGCUUGAGUAACGAAAACAUUGGUGAGAAUCCAAUGCCCCGAAAACCUAAGGGUUCCUCCACUAGGUUCGUCCAUGGGGGGUUAGUCAGGACCUAAGACUAGGCCAAAAGGCGUCGUCGAUGGAAAACAGGUUAAUAUUCCUGUACUAAUUAAAUUAGGAUCUGAGGGACGAAGGAGGCUAAACUAGAACUGUUUUUGGAUUGCAGUGGAAGCGUUUAGACGUUGAGAGAUAGCAUAAAAGCUAUCUUGAGUGGAGACGUAAUCCCUAUAUGAUGGUUCGCCGUCGUGUAGCUAGUGAUGUCAUACUUCCAAGAAAAGCUCAUACAUCCUUAUAAUUUAAUUACCUGUACCUGAAACCGACACAGGUAGGUUGGUAGAGAAUACCAAGGGGCGCGAGAGAACUCUCUCUAAGGAACUCGGCAAACUGGCCCCGUAACUUCGGAAGAAGGGGCGCCCAAAAUUCAUUUUUUGGGUCGCAGUGACCAGGCCCAGGCGACUGUUUACCAAAAACACAGGUCUCCGCAAAGUCGUAAGACAAUAUAUGGGGGCUGACGCCUGCCCAGUGCCGGAAGGUUAAGGAAGUUGGUUAUUUCUUUCCCCGUAAGGGGACAAGAAAAAAGCUGACGACCGAAGCCCCGGUGAACGGCGGUCGUAACUAUAACGAUCCUAAGGUAGCGAAAUUCAUUGUCGAGUAAGUUUCGACCUGCACGAAAGGCGUAACGAUCUGGGCGCUGUCUCGGAGAGAGGCUCGGUGAAAUAGACUUGUCCCGUGAAGAUGCGGACUACCUACACCUGGACAGAAAGACCCUAUGAAGCUUGACUGUAUCUUGGAAUUGGGUUUGGGCUUUUCUUGCGCAGCCUAGGUGGGAGGCUAUGAAGAUUACCUUCCGGGGUAAUUAGAGCCGUCAUUGAGAGACCACUCUGGAAGAGCUAGAAUCCUAAUGGGGAUCCUUGAAUCAGGACCCUUGACAGUUUCAGGUGGGCAGUUUAUUUGGGGCGAAUGCCUCCUAAAAGGUAACGGAGGCGUGCAAAGGUUCCCUCAGUCUGGACGGAAAUCAGACAUUGAGUGUAAAGGCAAAAGGGAGCUUGACUGCAAGACCUACAAGUCGAGCAGGGGCGAAAGCCGGCCUUAGUGAUCCGACGGUGCCGCGUGGAAGGGCCGUCGCUCAACGGAUAAAAGUUACUCUAGGGAUAACAGGCUGAUCUUCCCCAAGAGUUCACAUCGACGGGAAGGUUUGGCACCUCCGAUGUCGGCUCAUCACAUCCUCGGUCUGUAGUAGGUCCGAAGGGUUGGGCUGUUCGCCCAUUAAAGUGGUACGUGAGCUGGGUUCAAAACGUGAGACAGUUUGGUCCAUAUCCGGUGUAGGCGUUAGAGCAUUGAGAGUAGCCUUUCAUAGUACGAGAGGACCUGAAAGGACAUGCCAAUUGUGUACCAGUUCUCAUUCCAAUGGGAAACGCUGGGUAGCUACGCAUGGAUAGAUAACUGCUGAAAGCAUCUAAGUAGGAAGCUAAACUCAAGAUGAGUGCUCUCUAAGGCCGCGGCUAGACAAGCCGUUAUAUAGGUAUCAGGUGUACAGUCAGCAAUGGCUUCAGCCGAGAUAUACUAAAGGCCGUUUGAUUUUGACCUUUAUAAUAAUAAUACUUUAUAAAAUACUAUUUUUAACCCAACUGUAUAACAAAAUACAGUUGGGUUAGGAACUACGUUGUAGUUCCCCUUUGUUUUUGCCAUAGGCAAAAGACUUUUUCUUCCCGUUUGUUUCUUCCUUUGGAAGAAAAAGUCCCCUUCGGGGAAGGCAAAAAGAAGAGGGACGAAGGGAAACAAACUACAACUUAUAGUUUUACAAGGAUCCAGCUUUGCUGGAUUACCUUGGUGCUCUUUGCUCAGUUGGACCCACACCAAUCCAUCCCGAACUUGGUUGUGAAAAAGCUGAGGGGACUGAAGAACUUUACGGGUCGCCGUCUGGAAUCUCAGUUCUAGUGCCAGGGUUAAA
rnacentral:rRNA from 1 species